rnacentral:tRNA from 1 species
AAAUAUGAAGUAACUUUUACAUCUAGUUUCGACCUAGAAUUAUGAUGAAACUCAUCCUUAUUUA